CGGAGGGAUCAUUACCGAGUUUACAACUCCCAAACCCCUGUGAACAUACCUUAUGUUGCCUCGGCGGAUCAGCCCGCGCCCCGUAAAAAGGGACGGCCCGCCGCAGGAACCCUAAACUCUGUUUUUAGUGGAACUUCUGAGUAUAAAAAACAAAUAAAUCAAAACUUUCAACAACGGAUCUCUUGGUUCUGGCAUCGAUGAAGAACGCAGCAAAAUGCGAUAAGUAAUGUGAAUUGCAGAAUUCAGUGAAUCAUCGAAUCUUUGAACGCACAUUGCGCCCGCCAGUAUUCUGGCGGGCAUGCCUGUUCGAGCGUCAUUUCAACCCUCAAGCCCAGCUUGGUGUUGGGAGCUGCAGUCCUGCUGCACUCCCCAAAUACAUUGGCGGUCACGUCGAGCUUCCAUAGCGUAGUAAUUUACACAUCGUUACUGGUAAUCGUCGCGGCCACGCCGUUAAACCCCAACUUCUGAAUGUUGACCUCGGAUCAGGUAGGAAUACCCGCUGAACUUAAGCA
rnacentral:rRNA from 1 species